AUGCAUGUAAUGAGGUAGGGCGCGUAUGCGUUGGCACUUGGCCUUGACAUGAUCUAUGUACAAGCAUGCGUGUACUGACAAGGCGAGUCUGUCGGGCGAGCCGCCAGACACAUACUCAUAUAUGACUGCUGUCGUUAUGGAAGAAGUUGCAUAGUAUCAUGGGGCAAACAUCAUUCCGGAUAGUGGCGUGGGGGAUAAACAGGACGGAGGAGAGGGUGGCCCAACAUACGAGAGGAGGAUCAAGAGGGGGCGGAAGUGGGCCGAGAUGAUGUGAUGGAUCAAGAGGCAGAGUGAUAUCAAUAUGAUGAGGUGGACCAAGAGGAUGAUAAG
rnacentral:misc_RNA from 1 species